UACGUAGGGGGCAAGCGUUGUCCGGAUUUACUGGGCGUAAAGAGCGUGUAGGCGGCCAAACAGGUCCGUUGUGAAAACUGGAGGCUUAACCUCCAGACGUCGACGGAAACCGUAUGGCUAGAGUCCGGAAGAGGAGAGUGGAAUUCCUGGUGUAGCGGUGAAAUGCGCAGAUAUCAGGAAGAACACCAAUGGCGAAGGCAGCUCUCUGGGACGGUACUGACGCUGAGGCGCGAAAGCUAGGGGAGCGAACGGG
rnacentral:rRNA from 1 species